CUGUCAGACCGCAGCUGGACUGCUUCACCAAAGCUGAGUCACACUGCUCUGCUCCCAGUGACUGCUUCCAAACAAUUAAACCAGAGAGGCACCUGUGUAAAUAUGUAAUCUCUGGUGAUAAGAAAAUGAUUAGGCAGCAGAACUUGAGCUGAACUGGUGAAAAUCUUGUGCUUCCCUCUGGGGGCAUUUUACACGUGCUGUUGAGCGGUUCCCAUCUCAAGAACAAGGUCAAGUUCUUCCUCCCUCUCCUCACCUUGUUUGUUUGGAAAAUUCAGCUAAUCAGUUCUCACGAGAUUUGGUCUGCUGGCAGACAUUGAACUUUUACUCUAAAGGAGUCAUCUCUUGGGUGAGCUGAAAGAAAAGAAGCUAAAGUUGAAACCAGGUGCUGGAGGAUUUUCUCCUCCUCUCAACCAGGGCAGGCAGUUCUGUGGCCACCGCAGGCCAGACCGCUGCAUGGCUGCUUGCUUCCUGAGGACAGCAGGAUUGAUUUCACUGCUGGAGCUGCUGGUGCCCGGGAAGGUGCGCUUCCCUGACCUUUCUGUGAGGGACGGGGCGGGUCCCAGACCCCCAAGCCCUGGCUUCGCUUGAUGACUCACUGCCAGCCAGCGGCCCCUGUACUGGGAAGGAGCUGAGUACCAGAACUGCAUCGUAGGCUUUGUAGAUGGUGGUGGACAAAAUAUAGUCCACACUUAUCAGUUUUCCUCCCACUGACCUCCAUUCCCUGGAGCCCGGGUGAGCAGUGGAACUGCCUUGCAGAACAGUGCCAGCUGCCAUGAAAGAAGUUGGACUUAGCCUAAGCACCCCGUGGUGUAAGGAGCCCCAAAUCAGCCACAGCAGACAGAGAAAAUGCCUGAGCCGCUGCCCACCUGCUCUG
ensembl:lncRNA